rnacentral:rRNA from 1 species
GGAGUCACGCCAGGAACCUUACCAGGAGAGACAGCAGGGUGAAGGUCAAGCUGAAGACUUUACCAGACAAGCUGAGAGGUGGUGCAUGGCCGUCGCCAGCUCGUGCCGUGAGAUGUCCUGUUAAGUCAGGUAACGAGCGAGAUCCCUGCCACUAGUUGCUAUCAUUAUUCUCAGGAAUAGUGGGGCGAAUUAGUGGGACUGCCGUUGUUAAAACGGAGGAAGGAAGGGGCUACGGCAGGUCAGUAUGCCCCGAAACUCUGGGGCCACACGCGGGCUGCAAUGGUAGCGACAAUGAGCUCCAAACUCGAAAGAGAGUGGCAAUCUCUAAACGCUACCACAGUUAUGACUGAGGGCUGUAACUCGCCCUCACGAAUAUGGAAUCCCUAGUAACCGCGUGUCAUUACCGCGCGGUGAAUACGUCCCUGCUCCUUGCACACACCGCCCGUCGUUUCAUCGAAGUUUGCUUUUAGCGAGGUGAUGUUUAAUUGACAUUAUCGAACUUGAGGUAAGUGACGAGGGAAAAGUCGUAACAAGGUGACCGUAGGGGAACCUGCGGUCGGAUCA